AGCAUGAGUUUGAGUCAUUUGGAUUAAAGGCAAAUCCCCUCAGCCUACAGAACUUCUAUUUUUUAUCAUUCUGUGUUUUUCAGCUCCACCAUUGAUUGGCUUUCCUCCAGCAGAAGUUUCAAAGCUCAACAAAGACCCUGAAUCAAUCUUUGGACUUAACUAAACAAGUCAGAGUGCUGCAGGAUACUGAAGACCCCCCCCAAGUCUGGACUUGGCAGCUCCAAAAAACUAUGGCACAGAGCACGCCGGAUGCUAAUCCUGCCAAGUUGAUCCAAAAUCCAAAGGCUGAUAUCAAGGACUCAAGAAGUGAGCCUGCAUCAGCCGCGUCGGUCAAAGUCAGACCUGCCGACCUGGGGCUGAUUCGAAACUUAUCCAAGUCAGACUCGGACUUGUUGGCGUCACCGCUCGGAGAAGAGGAUGGAGGUCUGGCUGGCCGCAGUGGGUCGGUGUCUAAUUGCAGCUCGGGGCGGCUGUCCAUGGAGCGCAUGCCUUCCUUUGCCUCUGAGUGGGAUGAGAUCGAGAAGAUCAUGGACCUGAUUGGGGCAGGCAUAGAGACGUCCAAGAGCAAACAGCCCACACGGAGCUCAGAUGGGGCCUGCGGUAGAGCCCUGGACCAGCCGGUGGGAGAGUGGCUGGAGCACGUGGGGCUGCCGCAGUACGAGAGCAAGUUCCUGGUCAAUGGCUUUGACGACCUGCGAUUCAUGGGAGGUAACGUGAUGGAGGACCUGGACCUCAGAGACGUUGGGAUCACCGACCCAGGACACAGGAAGAAGAUCCUCCACGCGGCGCGCAACUUGCCCAAGGUGAAAGCUCUGGGCUGUGAUGGGAGCACGUCUCUCGCCUCUUGGCUGGACGGCCUCGGUCUGCAUGAAUACCUGCCCAACUUCCUGUCAAGCGGCUACCGCACGCUGGAGUGUGUGAAGAACCUGUGGGAGCUGGAGAUCGUCAAUGUGAUUAAAAUCGGCGCCCUGGGCCACAGGAAGAGGAUCAUCGCCUCCCUGGCAGAGAGGCCCUACGAGGAGGCUCCCAGCAAGUCCCGGCGUCUGUCCCCCAUCAUGUUUCAUGACCUCCUGUCCCAGACCACGUCCCCCCUCGGUCAGAUGGACCCCUACACCAGUCGCUCCAUGGACAUGCUCCUGCCGCUGAGCGACUCGGACCGCCGGCGGAGAGCAGCCGACCAGGACUGUAGUGUGUCCCUGCGCUCGUACAGCGAGAGGCCGCGCUCUGUAGACAGACAGAGCGAGCGGCACAAAGACUCUCGUAUAAACCUCCGGCCGCCGAGCCAGUCUGCGACCUACGCCACGGUGUCCGCCUGGCAUCACCAGCCCGAGAAACUCAUCCUGGAGUCCUGUGGCUACGAGGCCACCUACCUCGGAUCAAUGAUCAUCAGGGAUCUACGAGGGAUUGAGUCCACACAAGACGCCUGCGCCAAAAUUAGGAAAUCAAAAGACUCUAGAAAGGGUCCAGUUGUCAUCCUGUCCAUCACCUACAGGGGGGUCAAGUUCAUCGAUGCAGCCACGAAGUCCAUCGUCGCAGAGCACGAGAUCAGGAACAUCUCCUGCGCCGCCCAGGACCCUGACGACCUCUGCACUUUUGCUUACAUCACCAAGGAUCUGAAGAGCGGCCACCACUUCUGUCAUGUCUUCACCACCGUGGAAGUGACGCAGACCUACGAGAUCAUCCUGACGCUGGGACAGGCCUUCGAGGUGGCCUACCAGAUGGCCAUCCAGUCCAGGGCGAGACAGUACGUCCCUCCCCCUUCGUCUCAUGUCCCGGAGGUCAUCGAGACCAAAACCACCCGUCCUGCGUCCCAGUCAUGGAGCAGCAUGCGGAGAUCAGCAAUCGACCCCCUGGAGAUGGAUGCAGACAUGCAGUCCCUGGGCAGCACCAACUGGCUCUUGGACCAGCGCGACUCCAACAGGCGCCCCGUCAGCACCAAGUACGAGACCACCAUAUUCUGAGGCCGGACCCCCCCCACCCCCCCAACCCCCGACCCAACAGCUGCCCACUCUUCCCCCCCACACACUUUACUCUUACCUUGCAUCCACUCUUUCAUCUCUCUCUCUCUCUCUCUCUCUCUCUCUCUCUCUCUCUCUCUCUCUCUCUCUCUCUCUCUCUCUCUCUCUCUCUAACUCUCUCUCUAACUCUCUCUCUCUCUUGCACUCACACAUACGUACAUGCGAGCCCCGUGCCUUCUCACUGUGAUGGUAUAGCAACCCCUCAGGGCGGCCUACUCCUGCACCCCCCUUUGCCCUGCCCAGCGACCUUCAUCACCAAACCUCCCGCCCGCCAUGACAAACUCUCCCGUGCGUGCCCCCCCUUUCCGACAAUCCUCUCCCCCCCCCCCGGCAGCCUCCCUCGCCUGUUGCUGCUGCAGCCAAUGGCGGAGCCCUGGAACGGAGGAUCUCGGACCGAUCUCAUUUUACAGUGGCCCUGCUCUCUCAACCAAACUGCCUCUUCCUCCUCAUCCUCCUCCUCCUGACAGCUUGCAUCUGCCUCCAAAUCCCCGAUACCUCCCAGAGCCUGUCCUGUCUUACCAGGCAUCUACCACUGUGAGGCACUCAUGAGGCGGCUGCUUUGCUAGCAUGGGAAUGCAAGACGGAACAAAUAAUCAGUGAAAGACAAAAAACAAACAAAAAAAAGCAGCUACAUGCAGCAGACAACCCUUUCUUUCCUUUCUACACAUUUGUACAAUACUCAUGAAAACAACAACACAACGGACUCUAUCGCUGAUGUCUGAACUCAAACGGACUGAGAACUGAAUGCUCACACACACACACACACACACAAACACACACAUUGGAGGACAACUUUCCUACACUAUUCCGAGGACAACAGCCUUACUUGAUUUAUCGGGGGUUAUCUAUAAUCAACGAACCCCAAUCACCUCCUGCCCCUUGACCUCCCUGAGCACCACCACCCAACAGCUGCACCCCCAGCCCCUGCUUCUGCGAGACUUUGUUGACUUGUCGUGUUGAACUGACUCCGACUGGCUGGGAUGGAUGACGUUGUUCUCUAACUGGUACCGCUCGGUCCGGAUGAGUCUUUCCGCUCUGGUCUCGUACGGCCCUGUGCCUCUCAGCAGUCACGGUAGCACUGAGAGAGAGAGACUGCAAAUCACGGCAUCUUCUUCUUAUUGUCAAUUUAAAAGAAAACACUGUGUUAAAAAAAAAAGAAAAAUACAAAGAACGUGGCAGUAUCCCUUUUAAUACCUUCUUCUUUUUUUUUUUUCUUACGACGCAUAUAGGAAAACAAAUCUGUGCAUUUUGCGAUACCUUUUGAUAGACGGGGGGGAAUUUGACUGAACCACUUUGGGAGUGAGCGAUGAUAUAAGACGAGGUCGUGGAGGAGAUCCUGACACUAACACAACCCGAGGCGAAGGGAAAAGACACAACACAAGCAUAAUGGAGUGCACUGGCUUUGCUUCUGCGUCUCACAAUUAUGGCAAUCGGUAAACAAAGAACAACCUCAGUUUAACUCCAGUGAAUUAUCAACCAGCCCCGAGCACAAUAUUGCACAUUUCCCUCAAAACAUCUCAUCAUUAUCGGUAUCCAUGCUGUUUUUUUCGCACCGAUUUCGAAUAAAAGCAGAACACGCGAGGUGAAAAUAAACGUUAGUGGAAGAAAAAUAAAUAGAAAUGAUUCAAUUCCAGGAGUUUUAAAAGAAGGAGCCAAGUUUUUAAGAAUAAAAAUGAAUCUUGUGCGGUGGUGAUGCGGAUGGAUUUGUGACGCUGAGGACGUGACACAAUCUUUAUCUUUGAUUUCUAUUUUGAAGAAUCUUCCUUCUGCUGCACUGUGACUCAGAAAUGCUCGUUGUGGAGUCGACGCAUAUCUGUGCCCCCCCCCCCCCUCUCUGUGUGCGUUACCUGCUGUGCGUGCUUGUGUGCCUUGUUCCUCUGUGUGUCCUCAUGGGAGUUUGGGACUCUUACUGUCACAUCACCGGCCACCGUCCUUGUUUGUGUGUUGCUGCUGCUGCUGAGGGAGAUGCCAGGUUUCCUUCUUCUUCUUCUUUGUGUUUUUUUUAUCCGAGCUCCUCUCCGGUUGUGUGUGUGUGUGUGUGUGUGUGUGUGUGUCUGCUGGAGACUGUUUUAAAAAGAUGUACCCGGCCUCGUGUGCGGCGGUGCCCGUGGCUGCGUCGCCAUUGUUUCUGAGUGUUCACUGUUAGCUUCCACUGCCGAUGCAUGUUGGCAGUGUCUCCUCUCUGUGUGUGUUGUGUCCUCCCUCUGAUGCACUUGGCCUGAGCCGUCGUCGUUUGUGACCGUAGCAGUGUCUCGUCUCCUCUCACUCAUCUGCUUUUUAUGUUCCACCCCCCACCCCCCCACCUCCUCCUCACACACAAAUCACCCUCAUCCCUCCUCCACUGUCGUCAUCCCUUUCCCCAACUACAGGUUUUCUGUCACGUAUGUGUUCUCCCAUUGUGUGCGUCACCAAGACAGCCUGCUCCAGUAUGGAUGCACAAUAUUGAAAAAAAAAAAAAAAGCAUUACACUUUAAUGAGCAGCAGCUAUUUAAAGCAAAGUUUUGGUGGCAUGAUAAUGGCUGUGCAUGUACCAGUCUCUUUUUAACAUUGGUGUUUUCCUUGUGUAGCUCGCCCCAGCGUUCAAGUUUCCGGAUACCAAGCUGUGAGUUGACGGGGAGCGGCCGCUGCGAGUGUGCGUGCGUGCAUUGAGUUUAGUGGGCAGAGCAGUGGAAAGAGAAGAGGGGGAGGAAGGGAGGUAGAGGUAGAGAGAGAGAGAGAGAGAGAGAGAGAGAGAGAGAGCGAGAGAGAGAGAGAGAGAGAGAGAGAGAGAGAGAUAAAGCAUUACGAAAAACAUGCAGGGCCGACCAGCGCUGCUCUGACAUUUAGAUCCCACUCUGUAUACCCCCCCCACACACACACACACACACACACACACACACACACAGACACACACCACACGAUAUGAAACCCAACACGACACGGACGAGACGCAACCCGUUGUACCCGAUCAGCGGCCGGGCGGGACCAGGUGUUUCCCUCCCGUCCCCAGGAAAGGUCAGCCAUGAAAGGUCCAGACUAAUUCCUGGCCUCCGUGUGACUCUCUGAUCUCAUCAUGUAGGUACUGUUAUGUGUUAGAGCACCGUAGACCAUUAAUAGAUAUAUAGAGCAUUAAUGAGCAUUUCUAUUGAUUCAGGUCUAUGGGAUGGGGGAGGGGGGGGGGAGAGAGAGAGCUGUAACAGAAAUGUAGAGACAAGAAAAGAAAAAAUAAUGAAACUGUACCAGCAUACGAUGCUUUGCCCAUGUUUGUGGACAGAGUGUGGCUCAGUGGAAAUGUGAUACUGUCUCAAACUUUCAAAGCAAUAUUAUAUCAAUGAAAUUAAAUAAGACAAUGAACAAAAAGAAUCCCUCUCACGUCUGUUGUCGGCAUGACUGUUUGUUUUUGUGGUUGAGUGAUAAACAGACAGAAGAGAGAACGUGAAACCAGCCGUUGAACAAUAAAGAGACGACUAUUACAACCUGCUAAUUAUUGAACGAUUACAACCUUCACUGUUUCCCAGAGAUUAGUGAGACGUGUGCGACUUCUAAUUUAAACCAUCAGCAUAAAUUUGCGUGUGUUUAAGUUUCGGAGCAACACAUCUGAUUGUGUAUCGUAUUUUCUGUGUCGUCACAAACUCCCUGAACCAAUGAGGAUGAAGAACAUCAACAAAUCAACAAAACAAAAUGCAGAAUUACUUAAUUUAUAUGAAAGUAUUAUAUUAUUUCCACUUUUUUAAACACAUUACUGCAUUUGUGUUUUUUUCUCUUGCCGUGGUAAAUGUGGAGAUCACGAUGUUUCUGCCAAUCUGGACUAAUAAUUGGGUUUAAUCUGUUUAUGGUGUUGCCGACUAAUUAAUUGUUUUUAUUCAUGUUGUUAAACACGUAUUUGAGGAUCCUACCUUUAAAACCAAAUGAAGUAUAAAAGCUCUUGUGUUCAUUGUUUUGUUUUUAAGUUUCCACUCAUUUAAAUGUUCAAGCUCCCAAGAAGGUUCCAGAUCCCACGAGUGGUUUAACACAAAUUAACACAGUUCCUCUAAAGAUUCUGCAGAGAACACUAAUGCUUUGUUUACUGUGGCAGGUAACCUGUGUAUUUAUUUCUGUACAAUAUGAAAAUGUCCUCAUGUGACUCGCUUGAAUAGUGUUCGACUUUUCACCCUUUGAAACUUUCUUAUGUUGUAUAAUCGAUCACAUGUCCGUGACCUUCAGGGACAACACAUCCGAUCUCGCAGGAAUAAACUGUCAAACUUAAA